GUUCAAUUCUCAGACAGGAAACAAGAUACCAGUUAACAUGGUCAUAUUAUACAACAUACAUACAAUAACAGGUAGGCUUUCAGAUGUCCACAUGCUGCACAACUGCCUAUGGACUGGAGUUUUAUUUUUUAGAAUGGCUAAACAGAUAGCGUUACAAUACACACAGGGCUGAAUUUACAGUCCUUGCUGCUCCAAGGCCAGAAUAUUCAAUGCAACCUCUUUCUCUCUUUAUAUAAAAACAUAUAUACAAAGUUUGGAGUAUUCAAUUGCAUGCAUUAAUACAACUGGUGCAUGUGACUAGGUGGGUGGUUGGAUGCUAAGAGGGGCCAAGUUGGGAGAGGAUGUGUGUAUAUGUGGGUGGAGGCUGCUUGUGAUGUUGUCUAUUUGUGGGGUUAUAAGUUAUAUAGGGAAACAUGGUCUGUAGAGGGGGGUGGAAGAUCGUGGCUAUUGUGGUGGAGAUUGGGGUUAUAGUAGAGCAAUAGGACCUAUAGCAGGGAAAUUAAGACUGUAGAUGCAGGUUAGGGACUAUAGUGGGAUUGAUAGGGAGUAUUGUGUUGUGGAUAGUGGGUAUAGUCAGGGGACGAUAAGAGCUAUAGUGGGGUGACAAAGGCUAUAGUAGGGGAAAUGUGACUGGUGAGAGGACAUGGGCUAUUGUGGGGUGAAUAUUGUGAAUAGUGGGAUGACAGGAGCUGUGGUGGGGUCACAGAAGUUGCAGUUGGGGCAUAGGGACUGUGGCGGGGUGGCAGGGGCCAUAUUGGAAUGAUAGGAGGGGUGGCGGGGUGACAUGGGCUAUACUGGUGUGACAGUAUAUAGACUUACCUUGAGCCAGGAAGGGGAGAAUCUGAUUCCCUGGUGGUCCAGUGGGAGACACAGCUGUGGUCUAAUAUAACAAGGUGGAACAAUAAAUCAUGUACAUAAUGUGGGUGCUAAUUAAAAUUAAAGAAAAGUGUGGCCCUAGAUGGCCUGUUCACCAGGCAUAAUUUAAUUUCUGUUCCCAUCUGAUGCAAUAACUGGCUGCUCACUGUUUAGUAUAUAUCCCAUCACUCGUGGCAUGUCAGGAGUAUUAAAUCUCCCUUCUGCUAAUUUGUGUUUCAUAUUAAUCGCCAUAGGCACUUUUUUUUUUUACACUAUUAAUAUACAUUUUAAUCUGGUAUUUGUCUAGCAAAUUCUGACCAGCAGUGACAUCUGAAUCAUAAAAUAAACGAAACUGCUCAUUGUAACGGAUCACCUGGCACCCCGACUGAGUACCUCCGUUGAAGGAUGCUCCUAGCACUUCCUGAGGACUCCAAGCACUGCAGCAGACACCACAACCACCAAACCGGAGCAAACGAAUACUCUCAAGCAUAUGAAUGCUGUAAGCAGCUGAAAAGGAAAAGCAUACAAUCAGCUUACACUCCUGGCAAUCAGCAUACAAUCCAAUUCCCCC